CUCAGAUCCUCUGGAAGAGCAGCAAAAACUCUUGUUUUUGAGACAAAAAUCUCCCUAUGGAACCCGGGAUGACAUUGAACCUGUGCCCACCCCCUGCCACUGGUGUGUUUGUGCUUCUGUCAUCCUGACCAGUAGCUCUGUCACCACCAUGGAACCACCCUAGCAGUAGUGGCCACUGUCACUUGCAUGUUGGGCAUACCCGUUACUGAAGGAGGAAAAAUACACAUGUAUCCAGGUAAAUGUGUACAAGAGAACCUGUGGUAAAUGGGAGGUGUAAAGGGGACAGGCAAAAUGGCAAAAUGCCAAGAAGCAUGAAGGAGAGAGGAGUCUGACCCAGGAGAAAGACGUGAGGGUCUUGAACACUUCCUGGAGGACACGACAUCUCAGACCUUCGGGCUCCAGGAACUGUGCACCUCUGAGUUCUGAACACAUCACCAGUCAAUCACUAUGCAGCAAAGAUAAUGUGUUGAUCUUCUGGAAAGAGAUGCUUAUGGGCUCCAACAAAAGGG
rnacentral:lncRNA from 1 species